AAGUCGAACGAAGUAGCAAUACUUAGUGGCAGACGGGUGAGUAACAUGUAGGAAUCUUCCCUUUGGUGAGGAAUAACACGAGGAAACUUGUGCUAAUACCUCAUAAGUCUUUACGGAGAAAGCUUUAUGCGCCAAUGGAUGAGCCUGCACUUGAUUAGUUUGUUGGUGGGGUAAUGGCCUACCAAGACAAUGAUCAAUAGCUGAUUUGAGAGGAUGAUCAGCCACAUUGGGACUGAGACACGGCCCAAACUCCUACGGGAGGCAGCAGUAGGGAAUCUUGCACAAUGGGGGAAACCCUGAUGCAGCGAUGCCGCGUGAGUGAAGAAGGCCUUUGGGUUGUAAAGCUCUUUCGUCGGGGAAGAAAAUGACUGUACCCGAAUAAGAAGGUCCGGCUAACUUCGUGCCAGCAGCCGCGGUAAUACGAAGGGACCUAGCGUAGUUCGGAAUUACUGGGCUUAAAGAGUUCGUAGGUGGUUAAAAAAGUUGGUGGUGAAAUCCCAGAGCUUAACUCUGGAACUGCCAUCAAAACUUUUUAGCUAGAGUAUGAUAGAGGAAAGCAGAAUUUCUAGUGUAGAGGUGAAAUUCGUAGAUAUUAGAAAGAAUACCAAUUGCGAAGGCAGCUUUCUGGAUCAUUACUGACGCUGAGGAACGAAAGCAUGGGUAGCGAAGAGGAUUAGAUACCCUCGUAGUCCAUGCCGUAAACGAUGUGUGUUAGACGUUGGAAAUUUAUUUUCAGUGUCGCAGCGAAAGCAAUAAACACACCGCCUGGGGAGUACGACCGCAAGGUUAAAACUCAAAUGAAUUGACGGGGACCCGCACAAGUAGUGGAGCAUGUGGUUUAAUUCGAAGAUACGCGCAGAACCUUACCAACACUUGACAUGUUCGUCGCGACUUUAAGAGAUUAAAGUUUUCGGUUCGGCCGGACGAAACACAGGUGCUGCAUGGCUGUCGUCAGCUCGUGUCGUGAGAUGUUGGGUUAAGUCCCGCAACGAGCGCAACCCUCACUUUUAGUUGCCAUCAUU
rnacentral:rRNA from 1 species